AACACAGUGGUUUAGAGGAACCCUGUUUCUUUUCUAUUUGACAUUGUUUUCUUUCUUCCCCACAGGACCUGAAUGACUUUAAAGAGGUCACUCAGUGUGUCUUCCCCAGGCUGUUGGACACCAAGCUCAUGGCCACUACGCAACCGUUCAAGGAGUUGAUCAACAUCACGUCUCUCGCAGAGCUGCAGAAACAGCUGAAAGAGAGCCCCUUCAAAUCUCCUACAGUUGGUGAGAGAACAUGACGACGACGACACGUUUUAAGGAACAGGAAGCUAUUUCAGAAGCUGAUUUAAUGAAAUAACUGCAUCACAUGAACUAAAUCAUAGUGGGGCGGCAGGGUAGCCUAGUGGUUAGAGCGUUGGACUAGUAACCGGAAGGUUGUGAGUUCGAACACCCGAGCUGACAAGGUACAAAUCUGUCGUUCUGCCACUGAACAGGCAGUUAACCCACUGUUCCCAGGCCGUCAUUGAAAAUAAGAAUGUGUUCUUAACUGACUUGCCUAGUAAAAUAAAGGUAAAAUUAAAUAUAGCUUUUGACAUAAUAGAAAUGCGACUGCCGUGGGGGCAUUUAAAAAAAUUUUUUUUUCAGGAGUACAGAUUAUUGUAUGGGACCGUAUACUAAGAAAAAUCUUAAGUUUUUAUAGUCAUUUGAUUUUUGGCGUCGUAUCAAAUUUGAUUAUUUUAUUUUGUUAUUUUGGCGUCGUAUCAAAUUUUAUUUUUUAUUUUAUUUAUUUUGGCGUCGUAUCAAAUUUUAUUAUUUUUUAUUUGCUUUAUUUUGGCGUCGUAAGCAGUAGCAGUGUGUGGACACAAUCAAUGGGGAAGCAGGGCCAGAAAAGAAUCAAACAUAUAACCAACCCAUGUUAGCAUUUCCCAAACUCUCGGGACCCCGAUGGGUGCACGGGUUUGCUUCAUGGUUUUUGGCUUAUGGUUCUCACCCCUACCAUAGACUUACACAGUAAUUAUGACAACUUCCAGAGGACGUCCUCCAACCAAUCAGAGCUCUUGCAUGAAGCGAGCUGACAUGUUGUCCAUCCAAUCAAAGGAUCAGAGAAUGUGAUAAUUGCUCUGUUUGCUCUAUAACCUGUUAGUUCAUAUGCCUCGCCACCACGCUGUGUAGGCCGAGACCAGACGGUGGCAGAAUUAAUUCAAACACACCUUUUUGUUUCAUCACAAAACCGGACAGCAACAUCUGUCUGAUGUCCACAACUAAUGUUGUAUGUAACAAACGGUUGCUUGACCAUGCUGUCGGUCAUGUAAGUUAAUGUUUCCGACAUUUUUGAACUGCU